UACGUAGGAGGCGAGCGUUGUCCGGAGUUACUGGGCGUAAAGGGUGCGUAGGCGGCCGCGCGCGUGGCGGGUGAAAUCUCUCGGCUUACCCGGGAGGGUGCUUGCCAGACGGCGUGGCUUGAGGGACGGAGAGGGGCGUGGAAUUCCGGGUGGAGCGGUGAAAUGCGUAGAUAUCGCUUGGAACGCCGAAGGCGAAAGCAGGCUGCUGGGGACGCGCCGACGCUGAGACACGAAAGCCAGGGGAGCAAAGCGGG
rnacentral:rRNA from 1 species